GUGAGGAAUAUUGGUCAAUGGGCGGGAGCCUGAACCAGCCAAGUCGCGUGAAGGAAGAAGGAUCUAUGGUUCGUAAACUUCUUUUGCAGGGGAAUAAAGUGCAGGACGUGUCCUGUUUUGUAUGUACCCUGAGAAUAAGGAUCGGCUAACUUCGUGCCAGCAGCCGCGGUAAUACGGAGGAUCCGAGCGUUAUCCGGAUUUAUUGGGUUUAAAGGGUGCGUAGGUGGUUUGAUAAGUCAGCGGUGAAAGUUUGCAGCUUAACUGUAAAAAUGCCGUUGAAACUGGCGAACUUGAGAGUAAAUGACGUAGGCGGAAUGCGUAGUGUAGCGGUGAAAUGCAUAGAUAUCACGCAGAACUCCGAUUGCGAAGGCAGCUUACUAAGCUACAACUGACACUGAAGCACGAAAGCGUGGGGAUCAAACAGGAUUAGAAACCCUGGUAGUCC
rnacentral:rRNA from 1 species